CGCCGCGGUAAGACGUAGGGGGCUAGCGUUGUCCGGAAUCACUGGGCGUAAAGAGCUCGUAGGCGGUCUGUUAAGUCGGGUGUGAAAGCCCUCGGCUCAACCGAGGAAUUGCACUCGAUACUGGCAGGCUAGAGUCAAGCAGAGGGAAGUGGAAUUCCCGGUGUAGCGGUGAAAUGCGCAGAUAUCGGGAAGAACACCGGUGGCGAAGGCGGCUUCCUGGGCUUGUACUGACGCUGAGGAGCGAAAGCUAGGGGAGCGAACAGGAUUAGAUACCCUGGUAGUCCUAGCCGUAAACGAUGGGCACUAGGUGUGGGGGGUUACCAAAUCCCUCCGUGCCGAAGCUAACGCAUUAAGUGCCCCGCCUGGGGAGUACGGCCGCAAGGCUAAAACUCAAAGGAAUUGACGGGGGCCCGCACAAGCGGCGGAGCAUGUGGCUUAAUUCGACGCAACGCGAAGAACCUUACCAGGGUUUGACAUGCUCGCGAAAACCGUGGAAACACGGUCCUCCUUCGGGACGCGUGCACAGGUGGUGCAUGGCC
rnacentral:rRNA from 1 species